UCACUACUGAGGAGUCCCACAAUAGGACGAAACGGUCGUCCAGUGC
rnacentral:hammerhead_ribozyme from 1 species